GACGAACGCUGGCGGCGUGCUUAACACAUGCAAGUCGAACGAAGUGGCGAACGGGUGAGUAACGCGUAAUUAACCUGCCCUUCAGAGGGGGACAACAGUUGGAAACGACUGCUAAUACCGCAUACUGACGGUGGGGAUUGCGUCUGAUUAGCUAGUUGGAGGGGUAACGGCCCACCAAGGCGAUGAGCAGUAGCCGGUCUGGGAGGGUGAACGGCCACAUUGGGACUGGGACACGGGCCAGACUCCUACGGGAGGCAGCAGUGGGGAAUCUUCCGCAAUGGACGGAAGGCUGACGAGGCAACGGCGCGUGAGUGAUGACGGCCUUCGGGUUGUAAAGCUCUGUUAAUCGGGACGCGGUACCGGAAUAGAAAGCCACGGCUAACUACGUGCCAGCAGCCGCGGUAAUUC
rnacentral:rRNA from 1 species